GAUGAACGCUGGCGGCGUGCCUAACACAUGCAAGUCGAGCGAAAGGACGAGCAGCUUGCUCCUCUGUUGUUAGCGGCGGACGGGUGAGUAACUCGUGGAUAUCCUACCUAUCAGUCUGGGAUAACUUCGGGAAACCGGAGCAAAUACCGGACCAUAUUCUGAAUCGCUUGGUUUAAAAGUGAUAUUCGGUCUUUUCGUUCAUCAUAGAUGGUUCCGCGCUGCAUUAGCUAGUUGGUAAGGUAACGGCAUACCAAGGCAAUGAUGCAUAGCCGACCUGAGAGGGGGGUCGGCCACACUGGAACGGAGACACGGUCCAGACUCCUACGGGAGGCAGCAGUAGGGAAUCUUCCGCAAUGGGCGAAAGCCUGACGGAACAACGCCGCGUGAGUGAUGAAGGUCUUCGGAUCGUAAAACUCUGUUAUUAGGGAAGAACAUAUGUGUAAGUAACUGGGCACAUCUUGACGGUACCUAAUCAGAAAGCCACGGCUAACUACGUG
rnacentral:rRNA from 1 species